AACGAACGCUGGCGGCAUGCCUAACACAUGCAAGUCGAACGAGACCUUCGGGUCUAUUGGCGCACGGGUGCGUAACGCGUGGGAUCCUGCCCUUAGGUUCGGAAUAACUCCCCGAAAGGGGUGCUAAUACCGGAUAAUGUCUUCGGACCAAAGAUUUAUCGCCUUUGGAUGGGCCCGCGUUGGAUUAGCUAGUUGGUAGGGUAAAAGCCUACCAAGGCGACGAUCCAUAGCUGGUCUGAGAGGAUGAUCAGCCACACUGGGACUGAGACACGGCCCAGACUCCUACGGGAGGCAGCAGUGGGGAAUAUUGGACAAUGGGCGAAAGCCUGAUCCAGCAAUGCCGCGUGAGUGAUGAAGGCCUUAGGGUUGUAAAGCUCUUUUACCCGGGAUGAUAAUGACAGUACCGGGAGAAUAAGCUCCGGCUAACUCCGUG
rnacentral:rRNA from 1 species